rnacentral:rRNA from 1 species
UGCAGUCGGACGGGAUUGAGGAGCUUGCUUCUCAUGAGAGUGGCGCACGGGUGCGUAACACGUAUGUAACCUACCUUGUUCAGGGGGAUAGCCUCUCGAAAGAGAGAUUAGCACCGCAUAAAAUCAAUUUAUGGCAUCAUAGAAUGAUCAAAUAUUUAUAGGAACAAGAUGGGCAUGCGGAACAUUAGCUAGUUGGUAAGGUAACGGCUUACCAAGGCUACGAUGUUUAGGGGAUCUGAGAGGAUGACCCCCCACACUGGUACUGAGACACGGACCAGACUCCUACGGGAGGCAGCAGUAAGGAAUAUUGGUCAAUGGACGCAAGUCUGAACCAGCCAUGCCGCGUGCAGGAAGACGGCCCUACGGGUUGUAAACUGCUUUUGUACCAGAAUAAACCUUUUCACGUGUGAGAAGCUGAAUGUACGGUAAGAAUAAGGAUCGGCUAACUCCGUGCCAGCAGCCGCGGUAAUACGGAGGAUCCAAGCGUUAUCCGGAUUUAUUGGGUUUAAAGGGUGCGUAGGUGGCCUAUUAAGUCAGGGGUGAAAGACGGUAGCUUAACUAUCGCAGUGCCUUUGAUACUGAUGGGCUUGAAUACACUUGAGGUAGGCGGAAUGUGACAAGUAGCGGUGAAAUGCAUAGAUAUGUCACAGAACACCAAUUGCGAAGGCAGCUUACUAAAGUGUUAUUGACACUGAGGCACGAAAGCGUGGGGAUCAAACAGGAUUAGAUACCCUGGUAGUCCACGCCCUAAACGAUGAAUACUCGAUGUUGGCGAUAUACGGUCAGCGUCUAAGCGAAAGCGUUAAGUAUUCCACCUGGGGAGUACGCCCGCAAGGGUGAAACUCAAAGGAAUUGACGGGGGCCCGCAC